GGGCAACCCUGGCGGCGAGCGGCGAACGGGUGAGUAAUGCAUCGGAACGUAUCCUUGAGUGGGGGAUAACCCAGCGAAAGUUGGGCUAAUACCGCAUGAGCUCUGAGGAGGAAAGCGGGGGACCUGAAAGGGCCUCGCGCUGGAGGAGCGGCCGAUGUCCGAUUAGCUAGUUGGUGGGGUAAAGGCUUACCAAGGCGACGAUCGGUAGCUGGUCUGAGAGGAUGAUCAGCCACACUGGGACUGAGACACGGCCCAGACUCCUACGGGAGGCAGCAGUGGGGAAUUUUGGACAAUGGGGGCAACCCUGAUCCAGCCAUGCCGCGUGAGUGAAGAAGGCCUUCGGGUUGUAAAGCUCUUUCGGACGGAACGAAAUGGGCGGGACUAAUACUCCUGUCCGAUGACGGUACCGUAAGAAGAAGCACCGGCUAACUACGUGCCAGCAGCCGCGGUA
rnacentral:rRNA from 1 species